GUCCAAGCACUUCAAUCCGCUAGCAGUUGUACCGUGAAACAUGCUCACAUUUGUGUCUACGCCAACAGGGACGAUAUCGUCAGUCAGUUCUGUGAACAAAGGACUUAGCCUUAGCAAGUAAGGUUCUCUACAAGUAGUUCCUUCAGGGCAAACAAACAAAUCCCCUUGAUUCAAUAACUUAUCCAUCAUUUCCCUGUCCUUGUCUCUGUUUCUCGUUAAUCGGACAGUUCUGAUUGGUGAUAAAAACUCUGACAUUCUACUAAGGCUGUAUGUUACUGCAGCCAAAGGUUUCACGAGGCCGAAUGACAGAAAUAAAGGAUCCAAUAAUGUUCUGUGGUUACACACAUAGAGUGAGCCUUUGGUUUGUGACUGAGAAUUUGGUGAAGCUAAGUGGUGGUUGGGUCUUGAAAGCUCAAGUUUAAUUCCUGAGUAGGCUAAGAGAGGAGUGGAGAUAGUGUACGGUAGGGAAAUGGCAAUACAUAUUCGAAUUAUUGAAAUAAUUGAGCCCAAGGGAAGCCAUAUGAACAUGGCAAGCAUGGCAAGUGGGCUUGGCUUGAAAGCUAACCUACCAUCAUGGAAGAUUAAUGGUUUUGGAUAUCUGUCCUUGCUCAGUAUAUUCCAUUUCAGCUUCUCAGCUUCACUCACCAUCACAACCUCCUGUGUCAGAUGUUGUAAUCAUUGUUAGUACUUGCAUAAAAAGUUAGAUUUCACUGUAUACCCAAUAAAGGGCUCCCUCGUACUAUAGUGUCUGAUCCACAGAUCCCCGAUUUAUCAAAAAAUCCCUAAUUAAUCACCUAUUAAUUUUUAAAAAAAUUUACCGAUACACCGAUUAUAUUCUGAUUUGACUCAAACUCUCCGAUUAUCGAAAAAAUCUCCGAUAUAUCCCUAAUAAAUCUUGAAUCGAUAGGUCAACCGAUUAGUUUCCGAAUUUUUCUACCAUGACUAUGGUCCCGGAAGACCUUCAAAAAUCAGUUGUCAAACUUUGAUUUUAAGUCAAAAAUUUGGAAAAAAAUAUAUAUUUUUCUUAGUUUCAAUUGGUGUCUAAAUUUAGCUGUAAUAAUUUUAAACUCCGACUGUUUCGUAGUACUGGAUGUGUGCAUAUGUAUAUAAAUCACAUAAGAUAUCAGUUAAUUAAAGUACCUUGCAAUGAGAGAACAAUGGAUGCUGAAGAGAUGUAUCCAUAUUAUCAAGUCCGAUAACAUUUUUGAAGAUAUUUGCAUCAUCAAAUUUAUCUUCCAAACUCGUCGAGUUCUUCUUUUCUUCCAUUAGACCCACAUAGUAACCACAAACCACUUUCAAAUCUCUCCCCGAAACAAAAUCAAUCUCCAAAUAAUCACUCAAAAAACAUUCCACCAUUACUUGAGGCAUAUCAGUGACUGCAUAGCUUGAUCUGGCUCUCUUCACCACCUCAAAAGCUUCAUCACCAACAUCCUCCAAGAAAUACUUUGGUAGCACCGAACUCCCCACCCGAAAGCUACUUUUCUUGAUCCCGAAAAACGAAACCAUCACCAUAACGUUCACCGAAUCUUCAUGGCUAAGCAAACAAAGAAGAGGGUAAAGUAGUAGUAAAACAAAAGCCCUCACAAGACUGCCAGCUUCGAAAGCAACCAGCAUGAAGUACGAGAACAGAGACGAAGAUUUCAACAAGGCUCCUUCGACAUUAAAGAUCACUGCAUUCUCAGACCACUUCACUCUUUCAGACAAAGUGGUCUGGCAAUGUUGUUUGUGUUGUGUCUCAGGUGCAACAGAAUGAGCAUUACUUAAGCUCCUCUGCAGACCCUUCUGGUCUCGAUAAUGCUUUCGAAUGAGACGACAUAUAAAGAGGAUGAGCCGAGGAGGCUUAGAGAAAAUCAUUUCUGUUUUGGAGAAGAAGAAUGUGUUAAUUAAGCUGAUACAGAACAAAGUGUGAAGGCUCUAAUAUAUAUUAGUGUAGAUGAAGAUAAGCCCUUGGCUGGGGGAAAACUAGUCAAUCAACAAUGCGCGGUAGCUGGAAAUUUGCUGGAACAUGUCAACCAACAAAUGUGGAAAUAAUUCGAUAUUUUGUUGAUUUAGAAAAAUUUGUCCUGCUGCUACUUAAAUGACCAUGACCUACAUAGCUGAGUGGUCGUAUUUUAUACAAUCAGGGUUCUUCUGUAUAUGCUCAAGAAGAGAAUCGAAUUCCUUUUUAACUAUAUAUUUAAAUCAUAAUAAUUCAUUAGAUAUGUAUCAGUUAACUUAUAACUUAAUUUCUGACGCUUUAAAUUUAUUACUUGAACAAAAAUCAUAAAUUGACAAUUUACGACAGAAUAAAGUCUAAAAUUCCGUCAUAAAAAGACAUGUUUGUCGUAGUAUGCUAAGGUUCUCGACUUAAAUUUCAGUUGCGAGAGAAAAAUAUGUCAAUUGUAUAUAUAUUUUUGUUUUUUCUUGACUGAUUCCAGUUGUAUAUUGAUUUCAUGAAGUUAUUAAGAUAAAAAUUUGCCUGGUUUAGUUUGUUUUGUUUUUUAGGUAUACUUCCUGUAUUUAUUUUCUCUUCUUUUUAGUUAUGUUUUCAAGAGUUCUUGGAGAAUACGUAAGAGCAUGCAGAAAAAUCCAUUCUCAUAUGAUCAUGACAUAUACAGGGGCGGCAUACUCGAUGUAUGAUGUAUAAACACAUUAAUCAUGUUCCAACGCCGUUUCGUCAAUUAAUUAAAACGUUACUCCCUCCGGCUCUAAAUACUUUUCCUGUUUGUACUUUUCACGUUUGCCAACACACACUUUUGAUCGUUCAUAUCUUUCAUUUCGUAGUAGCAUUAAAUAUAAAAACUUCACCGUAUUAAAGUAAAUACGAAUCUAACAAGAGACUCAUGACUAUAUUUAAUUUUAUAGAUUAGAUGUAAAUUAGUAAUUUGUCUCAUGUUAUGAACAGUACCGAUAUCACAAACAGGAAAAGAAAAAAGAAACGGAGGGAGUAACGGAUUGCAUAAUAUAUUAAGGUCAACACGGGUUAAUUUAUUCCUUUAUAUUUUAUAUAUAUCGAUUUUUUUGACACAUAUCUUCAUCAUAUAUUUAGAAUAUUAAAUUAAAAUUUUAAUUUUAAAACAAAAGUAUAUAAAUAAUUUUUUUUAAUAAAUAAUAGUAAUCAUAAGUAGUACUUGUAAUCAAGUAAAAAAAUAUAAAAUUAAAAUAUAAGAUAAAAAAUAAAUAUAUUUUUAAAGGAUGUGCAUAAAACAAAUUAUAAAUUACUAUAAUAAAUUGAAUAAUCAGCUAAUUAAGAGGAUCCUUCAGAUUAAAUAUCUAUGAUCUCUAGUCCGAUUAGAUUUAUAUCGAUUAUGUUUUGAAUGUUUUUCAAAACUUCGACUUUUAAAUAACCGUAGUUUCAUAAUUGUCUAGCUACUUGUCCUUGUAGUAUGUAUUAAUAUAGUCCAAAGUUUGGACUUAAAAAUGACGUUAAUUAUAUUUUAUUCAACGUGAACACUGAACUGUGAGUGUCGUGUUAUAAGAUAUCUUCUUGUAAGUAGCGAUUCAACUCGUCGAUUUUAGUUUAUUUUUUCAACCAGUAAAAUCGCCAGCUGAUGCGCAAGGAUAAAUCGUGUUUGUUGUUGAUCAUGCGACUCAUGUGACCAUGUCGUCACUAUUUAUUAACAAACGAAAACCAUGCCCUAAUAAUGUAUUAGAUCACAUUCGAAGAAUUUUAUUAUGGGUUUGGCUAGUGUGUGCUCAUGGGCACAUGCUAAGCAAUAACAUUUAUAAAAUUGGAGAGUUUUGAUUGGUGUGGUUGUUGCAACUGCAAGGGGAUCCACCAUUAUUAAAGAAGCUAAGCCAAUAGAAACCAUCCAAAUUCAUAAAUUUUGGUGCUUAGUGUGUGCCCAUGAGCACACCAUAGGAAAACCGUUUUAUUAUUAGCGGAUGAAGGAUCAAGGAAGAUUCAAUGAUUAAGAUACAUGCAGAAUAUGAACACACGAAAGCUGAGUUUACUUACAUUAAAUGAAGGUGGAACUUAAGAAUUUGAAGAUAAUCUGUGGGCGCUGGUUAGAUUAAUCAAAGCUUGUUAUUUCAACGCUUGCAAUUAAUGGCGCUAUUAGAGAUUGGUACAGCCACCUUUUCAACUGGUAAACUUCUAGAUUAUCGUAGUACUACUCCAAGAAAAGGUCUAUAUAAGACGCAUUCGACCAAACCAACAGUUUGAUAAAGCGUUCGGGCUCAGUACGGCUCCACAGAGAUACAAUCUCUGCGGUUUUUUACGUUAUUUUUGACCCGAAACUUUUAUAAAAUCUGAUUAUAAAAAAAUUAAGCUCGUAGAUAUUCCCACUUAAAAUGCUUAGUCAUUUUUAAUUUUAAAGUAGAAAAAAUAUGCGUGAUAAAGUAGUUAAAAUUAGAAAUAAACCAAAAAUUGACUUAAAAUUUAAAGUUAAUUUGAAUUAUUUUUUUCAAUGACAUAAUUUUUUGGACUUUUUUUUAUAAAAAUUAUCAUCAAUGAUAGGUGAUCUGUAAAACACUUUUAAUUUUAUUAUUAUAUUUUUAAUAACUCAUAAAUUGUUAAUAAAUCAAAAUUAUUCAAACAAAUAUUUUAAAUUCCGAAUUUAUUAUAUUAAAUCAUGUUAAGUUAUAAGUCAUUUUAAACUAGCCAAAUAACGUCCUAGUUAACAGACUGAAACACUCUCAAAAAUUAAAAAAAAAAUUACUAAUAUAAAUGAACAAUACUAUGUGCAAAUAUGUGUGCAGUAUAAAUGAUGAAAAUUGAUUGACGGUUUUUAUGCUAGUGUGUGCUUAUGGGCAUGGGCCCUAAUAGUUACUCCCUCUGAUUUCUAUGCACUUUCUUUUUUUGGAAGUCCUACUUAAUUCUAUACAUUUCAAAAUUUUCCUAAAGUGGUAACCUUUUAUAUCUUAAAUAUUUUCCCAAAUUUCUAUUAUAUUUUCUUAUUAUUUUUUAAAUAUUAUCUGAUAUUAAUUGUCAGUUAUUUCCUGGCGAGAGUUAUUUUAUUAUGUAUUAUGCUAUUAGAUAUCUAACCAAAGAGAUCUUAUUAUCUCUUUGGUGUAGAUUUCUAAUGAUUUGUUUUUACAUUAAUUUUUAAUUUUUACUUUUCUUAUUCUUUCAAAAUUAUAUAAUUAUAUCUUUAUCUUUUUAAUUAUGAGUUUGCCGACUCUUUCCUUUAUCGUUUUAGAAAGUUUUAUUACUUUCUUGUUUGUAUGAACUUAUUAGGUCUACUCUUGUAUUGUAUUUUUUCAGGAUAUGCGAGUGGAGGGAUAAAUGCAAGCGGAACCUCUUAUGGUGUUUUCUUAUCGAACAUUAAAGCUUUAUUGUCUAAGUAUACUCGGUUAUCUCUGCAUGUCCGAGGGUUAGAUGGUAAAUUUUCUUGAACGAAAAGAACUCCUGCCAGCAGCUAUCCAAUUCUGGAAAUUUCUUUAUACGAGGAAGUAUCUUGUGACCAAAAAAAAAAAAAAAUCCCAACCACUCACUACUUUCAUCCACUUUUACAAAUCUAUCAAUUAUAUAUUGAUGGGUCCCACCACUUUACUCACUUUUUUUUCUCUUACUUUAUAUUACUUUAUACACUUUUCUUAAUCUUCGUGUUCAAUCCAAACGUAUACAUAUCAAAAGGACGGAGGGAGUAGUAGAUAAUUAAAAUGAGUUAAAUACUAGAUUUUGUUGGGCGCAACUAGGGGUGGCAAUAUUGGACCCGACCUGACAACCCGACACGAAUUCUACCCGCAAAAUACGAAUUCGGGUUGGAGUUUUUCGGGUUCGGAUCAAAUUUUGGUUGACCCAAAAUCAACCCAGAAAAAAACGGGUCAUUUUCGGGUUGAAUUCGGGUUACCGAAAUUGACCCGAAAUUACCCGAAAAUUAAUAUAUAAUAUAAGUAUUAUAUAUAUAUUUAUAUUAUUUAUAUUAUUUUUAUAAUAUUUAUUAGUUAAAUUUAAUAUAAAAUUAUUUAAUUUAAUAAAAUUUAAUUUAUUUGGAUUAAAAUAAUAUUUAUUUAUUAUUUAAAAAAUAUUUUUAUUAAUAAAUAUUAAUUUUCGUGUCGGGCUCGGGUUACCCGGGGUAGUGCGGGUCGGUUUGGGUUGAUAUUUUGACCCAUUAAAAUUUUGGGUCAGGUUCGGGUUGGGUAAAUUUUUUGACCCGCGACUGUCAACCAACCCGAACCCGACCCGAAACCCGAAAGUGUUAGCCCUAGGCGCAACAUAGAAAAAUCAUUUAGAAAUAAUAAUCUGACGAAUAAGCCAGGUAAUAAAGCAAUCAUUAUUAUUUUUUAGUUUUUACUCCUGCGAGGAAAAGUUUUCUAAAAGUAGACAAUAAUCAGUUUCCAAAAAAAAAAGAAGACAAUAAUCAUCUUUAAUCGCUGGAUCGACGAAAAUCAUCUUCAAUCUCAUAAUUAUAUGUAAACAUUCAAAUUCAAGCUGUUAAGACAUUAUUCAGGUUCGAGUUGUUAUAUAUAUCGUUGAACUUGAAAUCAAUAUUCGGCUGGCCACAUUAUAGCCCCUAUAAAUACGAUGUGUACAAAUCGAUAAAAUUUUUAUUACAAAUAAACCCAGGCCAGACACUUGUUUCGCUUUUAAGUGUGGGAGAUCAAAGAAAAGAUGGCAACAACUAAGAUUUACUAUAUUUUAUUCUUAUCGGAUGCACCCAUUUUUUAUGCAUUGAAUUUUAAAGACAGCUCAUCAACUAUAAAUAUAAUUCCAUAUUUUUAAAUUGCACAUAACAAUUGAAAAUUGUAUCAAGAAAAAACACAAUCGAAUUUGUGAUAUUUUCCAUGCCUACCUGACUUUUGUUGUUGGAUAAUAAUUGCAGCAGAUUUUAAUCUAUUUUUUUAGAUGAUUUUCAAUCGAUGUUGGUUGAUGGUCAUCAGCCUGUAAUAAAUGGAAAUUUAUAAAUACUAGUACUACGUAACAUGCAGGGGAGAUGAUUAGAAUUUUGCAUUGGAAUGCAUGGAAAAAAACAUGAUAUUUUAGUUGAUGAAUAAAUUAAAUUCGUAACCGAUUAAAUAAUUCGAUAUACCAAAAAGAUUGUUUCUUUUUGUUGAGCAGCUUUUCCGCAACUCAAGUUGUGAAAAUAUUAACGAAAUUAUAUUCGGGACCUAUGUGGUCAAGAUUAAAAAUUAAAUUAUAAUUAAAAUAAUAGUUUAUUGCGUGGAAUAUAAGUGAGAAGUUAAUUUAGAUUCGUAAAUUAUUAUAAAUAUGAAUACAAUGAUUUAUAAAUUAUUUAGAUGUUUGGUAUAUUGAUAUUUAAGUUAGUAUAGUUUUAAAAUUUUCUAUAUAAUUUUGUUUUACUUUUAGAUUAAGUUAUAAUAAUAUAAAAGCUUAUAUUAAUAUAUGAAAUAGUUUACAAACACCAAAUGUAAAAACUAUACUAACUUAUGAAAAAGCUGUUAAAGCUGGGACUUAAAGCUGUUUCCAGCUUUAAGCUGCAAAAUGUCUGUUUGUGCAAUAAGUCAGAAGCCGGUUUAAAGUCAUAAAUAAGCCACAAGCUGAUUUAAAAUCAAAAGUUAGUUUGAGGUACUUUUUUCAGUGACUUAAUUUUUUAAAACUUUUUCUUUGAUAAAAAUUACCCACAAGUCAUAAGUUAUUCAUAAAUCGCUUAUAUUUUUAUUUUUAUAUUUUUAAUAACUCAUAAGUCAUUUAUAAGUCAAAAUUAUUGACAUUUUAAACUGUCAGCUUAUCAGAUAAGUCACGUUAAGUCAUGAGCGUAAUAAGUCAUAAACUCAGGGCUUAGGUAUAAUUUUUUGCGAAACAGUCAGUUAAAAAUCGGAAUCCACUUCUUCAAUAAGAAAGCCCACUAGAUUCCUCAUCCAAACCUAAAUUGGGCUGUUAUACAUGUGUUGUGAAAUUUUACAGUUCAUUUGUUGUUGUCCUUGAUCUCUUAUAUUUCUUGCGGGAGGAGUGGAGUCUGUAGAACAGAGUUCCAUUCCUUCUGGUCAGUAAAAAAGUGUAUUUUAUUUAUAUUUUGCAAAUAUUCUAUUUACAAUUCUAUCAGUUAUAUUCUUAAAAAAAUUUCUCCCACGACCACAAAUUUCUAGGUCCGUCCUGUAUCUAUGUAUAUAUUGAAGCCUGGUUUAUUUUACUAUUGCUUCACAGAUUUUUUUCAAGGUGAACAAUGUACUUUGUUGCCAUUGAUUCUUCUUAGCAACUUAAGCUAGCAAGCGAGUUUUUUCGCUUGUGAAAGCAUAAUAUGUGCUACUCCGUAUCCUCGCACUAAACACCCCGCACCCACACUCAUGCUUUCUAACGGAUGAUAAAUUGAUAUGUCUGCAGAAUAUGCACACUACUGUACUUUGAUCAAGAGAUCUUUACUCCUUCAUGACUUCCACCAACAUUGAAAUGAAAUUUAACUAAUCAGCUUGUAUAUAAAUGAUAUACAGCAAGAAGCUAUAAAGUUUCAGGUCCAAUCAAUCCGUUAAAUCUCAGACCUGGAGUCUGGGUGUAAGCAGACAAGACUAACAUGCAUGUAUUAAGCAUAAAAUAUUUCUUUCAAAUUAUUGUAGAAACAUUUCAUGUUAUGUGCCUAAAGAUUGAUAUAUAUGCGAAAAUUUUAAAGAAAUUUAUGAAUUCUCCGGUGCACAAGUUUAAGGUAUUGUGUAAAUCGGUAUAUUUGUAUACAAUCUACUAAUUAUUACAGACAAGCAUACUAGUUGUCGGAUGAUUAUACAGACAAAAAAUUGAAUAAUAUGCACUAAAAGAAUUGUCUAACUCGACUAUUCUGAGAGCUAUGAUAUGAAAAAAUUAGCUAAUUAUUGUUUGUUUCCAGCAGAAACUACUCCUUCAUUGCCUGCCAAGAUCAUGUACUUGUCCUUCCUUGUUAGCAUCGUGCAUUCGAAUCCUAAGGCCUUGCCAAGCUCACUCUGCACCUUAUUGGCCACAUCAAACCUUGAGCUUUUGUCGUCGUUGCUUGAAACGCCACAAAUUUUUCCAAGUACUUGCAGUGUGUAGCUUGGAGUAGGGUUCAUAAGGAAGAAAAUUGGAUCCAAGAACUUCAAUCCACUAGAUGUUGUACCAUGAAACAUGCUCACUUCCGUGUCUACGCCAACAGGGACGAUAUCAUCAGUCAGUUCUGUGAACAAAGGACUGAGCCUUAGCAAGUAAGGUUCUCUGCAAGUAGUUCCUUCAGGGCAAACAACCAAAUCCCCUUGAUUCAAUAAUCUAUCCAUCAUUUCUCUGUCUUUGUCUCUGUUUCUCGUUAAUCGGACUGUUCUGAUUGGUGAUAAAAUUUCAGACAUUCUGCUGAGGCUGUAUGUUACUGCAGCCAAAGGUUUCACGAGUCCGAAUGAGAGAAUUAGAGGGUCCAGUAAUGUUCUGUGGUUGCAUACAUAUAGAGAACCUUUGGUUUUUGACUGUGUUUUUGGCCUUUGGACGGGUUCGAAAACCUUGAGCUUAAUUCCUGAGAAGGUUAACAGAGGAGUGGAGAUACUGUAUGGUAAAGAAAUGGCAAUAAGGAUUCGGAUUAUGGCAAUUAUUGUUCCGAGAGGGAGCCAAACAAACAUGACAAGCAUGGAAAGUGGAGUUGGCCUAAAAGCUAAUCGACCAUCGUGAAAAAUGAGAGGUUUCAGAUAAUUUUCCUUGCUAAGUGACUUCCAUUUUAGCUUCUCUGCUUCAUUUACCAUGAAAAACUCCUUGCAAUGAGAGAAUCCUCUAUGAGCAACGGAUGUGUUGAGGCUAUCGAGUCCGAUUACAUCCUCAGAUACAUUCUCAUCCUUGAAUAGAUCCACCAAUAUGCUGUUACUCCUAUCCUCCAUUAGGCCAACAUAAUAUCCACAAACAACUUUUAGCUCUCUUCCGUUGACAGAUUCGAUCUCCAAGUAAUCACUUAAGAAGCUCUCAACCAUGACUUGAGGCAAAUUAGUGACUGCAAUUUUCCUUUUGGCUUUUUGCAACACCGCAAACACUUCAUCACCAACAUCCUCAAGAAAAUACUUUGGCAGAACUGAACUUCCUACUCGAAAACUCUUUUUUUUCAUCCCGAAAAAUGAAAUCAUGACCAUAACAUCAAUCGAAUGUUCAUAACUAAGUAGGCUGAUAAUAGGGUAUAAAAUUAAAAGAAUGAGGGCCCUUAUGAGGCUACCGGCUUCAAAGGCAACUAACAUGAAGUAUGGAAAAAGAGAUGAAGAUUUCAGCAAAGAGCCCUCUACAUUAAACACUACAGUUGUGUUUUCAGAAGGCUCAACUCUUUCUGAAAGAGAUAAUUGGCUCUUUACUUUAUGUUGGGAAUUGAAUGAAUUUGCAGUACUUAGGCUUCUCUGCAGACCCUUUUGGUUUCUAUAGUAUUUUCUAAGGAGACGAGAGAUUAGGAGGACGAAUCCUGAAAAAGAUGGGGUUUUUGAGAAGGCCAUGUUUGAUCUGAAGAUUUAGAAGAAUGUGUUUGAUAUUUGAUGCUAAAAAGUGAUGCUAUGAGGUGUGUUUAUAUAGUGUUAGUAUACAGAAGAAUCCUCACUGUCACUUGGAAUGCAACUUCACAAGUAUGGAUUGACUUGGCAACUCAAAAGCGAUUGGUCAAAGAAAAGCGUAGUGAGAACAAGGUGGCUCGAAACAGCAAGGAUGGUGCUGGAAUGGUUCAAGCCAUAAAAUGCAGGUAGAUAAGAUGGGACUUAUCUUCUAUCCUCCUUAAAUGCUAAAUAACAACUUGCAUGCAGUGCUCUCUUUUUUCCUAAUGGUUCUUGCAUGAAGUGUUUAUAUGUUCACAGAAUUGUCAAAUUUCAUACAGCUGCCUAUGAGCUUCUGCCUCAAGGUGUUGGGGCAUAAACUUUGCUUCAGGUUGCCCAGAGUCCAAUCCGAGUCCUGAACUCUUAUAUCAUGUUAAGUAACUAGUUAUCCCAAAAAUUUAAUUGUUAAGGAGGAGGCUUACCAGAAUCUUAUUAACCGACAGUUUCAGUUUUUAUGGAAUGUGGUUUCAGUUUUGCAUUAGCUGAAAUCAGCUAUAAUCAACUAACAUGGCUUAUUUUUAUCAACCAGUUUUAUCGAACACGGUUUCGGAUUUGUCUGUUGAUUAUGGGUUUAGAAAGAAAGUGAAGAACAAUAUAGUUGGUUCAAUUCUUGUCCAAUUUACUGUUAUAUAGGAGUAUUAAUUCGCCAGGAGUCAACGAGUCAAAGUAAGUUGCUAACCUUAAUACUCAACCGAAAGCAUAAGUUUCUUAAGACUAGCAGAUGAUCUGUACUAAUCAGUUUUUAUGAAUGUGGGAUUCUACUAAGGAGUUUACGUAUAAACAUCAAGAUUAGGUUCCGAAGGCUUUCCGGGUGCAAGGACAUAUUUAUUUCUCAAUAAGAAAGGUUUGACCUUUCAUAAUUAAAAACACGCAAAAUACAAGUGAGAAUUGAAACCUAAUAAUAUUUUGUGUUGGGCCUGGGGCGGCCAUCUCAUAAAUUAUUAAAUUUUAACGUAACUAGAAGCACUAUUGGCAUGUUCUUGGUGAGUAGAUAACCGCCAAAUUAAAUCAAAGUGGUUUCUUGAAUUACGUAUCUAGAGUUUAAAAAAUCUUUUAGAAAUUAUAUUAUUUUUGUCAAAAGAAAUAGUGUACUUAAUAUAUUAUAAAGCUUCUCGUUUGGUGGUGACAAUUUAAAUAAAACAUGUUUUGAGCGAAAAUUUAGUAAUAUUCUCUUUAAUAUCAUUAAAUAAUUAAAUUUUAUCAAUCAUCAAGUAUAAUCAUAUCAUUAGCUUCUCUUUGCAUAAUUUCAUGUAUAAUAAUAACUCAUUUCAGGUAAAAUAUAGUAGAUUUGUUUGCAACUGGAAAACGAAUUAUAUAUUUACAAUCUUUUUGAAAAAAUAUAUUAAAUAAACUUUUAAAUCAUAUAAACAGAUUUAAAAUUAUUGAGAUGUAUUCACACUUCAUUACAAAAUUUUGAACAUUUAUAUCUUACUAAUUUUAACUCGAGUUUACAUGAUUUAAUAUUCCAUAAAUUAUUUUGUAAAAGUUUUAUAUAUACAAUUUGUAAAAUUCAAUUUAUACAUUUUGUGUAACAUAAAAAUAUUAUAUGCUAAGACCAAAUACAAGGAUAUACACAUAUAUUAUCAAAAAUAUGAAAAUGAAACAUAAAAUCCAAUUAUAUAGUGGUAUUAUAGAAGAAUAUUUUAAUUAUUUAUUUGCUAUUGAAAAUGUAUGUUUAAGAUUCCAUUGAUAUGUAUACUUAUUAUUUAUAGAUAUAUAAAUGUUCUUAUUUUUUAUUAAUAAUUAUAUACAAGUCCGGUUCUUUCGUGUUUACUAAUUAAAUGAAAGUCUAUUGUCUUUAAAAAUAUUUUAUUUGUUAUUAAGAAGAAUAUUGUAUACUAAAAAAUAUUUCCUCAAUUAUCAUAUAUUAUAUAAAUAUAUUAUAAGUUAUCUUGUACUAUAAUGAAAAUUAAUUGUAAUAUUAGUUUAAGUUUUUUGUUUUUAUUAUAAAUGAGUAUUUAUUUGAAUUGAUGCACAAAAUAUUAGAACAAAUUAAGCAAAUAUCACUGAGUUGGCUCAAUUUAUAGAAAACACAUUACUUUUUUGGAGUCGUAAAUUUUUCAUGUAUUUUCUAUAAUUUUUAUUUAUAUAAUACCAUUAUAAAUUAUACCCCUUUUUUGGAGUAGUAAAUUUUUCAUGUAUUCUCUAUAAUUUUUAUUUAUAUUAUACCAUUAUAAAUUAUACCCCAUCAAACCUUAAGCUUUUAUGUAUGGUGUUCCUUUUAUGUAUGGUGUUGCUGAUAUUGUGGGCUAGUAGCAAUGGCUUGAUGGCUCUAAUGCAAUUCAUUCAAAAAUGAGGGAUUUAAAGGUCUUGGCCUUACUAGAGGUGUAACAAUUGAGCACGGAAUGCAUGAGUAAUAUUCGAGGUGCAGCAGAUGUUUUUUCUUGGAUCUCACCUGUUCUUCAUAACGAACAAUAAUGGGAAAUGACAUUCAAUUAAGUAAUAAUCGACAUGGUUCACUAAUGUUAUUGAUCUUACAGGCUACAGCGAGCAAGAAGCUUUCAAAUCUCUCUCCCUGAGGUCUGGGCGUGGAAGCCGACUGUUGAAAUAUAGCAUGAGAUAUAAUCGAGCUCUUCCUCAUAAGGUUAGAUGGACUUGUUCUCAAUAUGGUAUGAGAGGCAUAUUUGGCGGUGGUUUAAAGUUCAAGUGAUGGUAGUGUUGAAAUUUAGCAAAAGAUCCAUUUGGCAUUCUUCUAACAACUUAAGGUGGGUUCUUAACACCCCGACAGAUUUAAACAUGCAUGCAUUGAAUAAAAGAUAAUUUCAAUAUCUAAGCUUAAUGUACUUCAAUCUAUUAGUUUUAAUCAACUGGUUUUGAAUCUUUUGAUAUAGCAAAAAGGGUCUUUCUAGUGUGUGCCCAAGGGCACACAUUAAGCACUAAAUUUGAUGAGUUUAGUAGAUUUUAAUUGGUGGAGUUGAUGUAAAUGCAGAGGGGCCAUCCAUAUUUAUGAUUACAUGACCAAUAAGAAUGCACCAAACUCAUAAAAAUUAGUGUUUAGUGUGUGCCCUGAAAAACCGUAGCAAAAAUUAACUCAAAUAUAUGUAUUUGUAUAAACAUCUUCGGUGCUAUGGAUGUACAAGAAUAUAUAUAUAGCUUGCUGAGACAAAUCAGUACAAUGACAUAGUUUUAAGUGUCUGUUAAUGAUGAAUUUAAUACGGCCUUUAACCAGACAUGUACUUUCAAAUUUUAUGAAAGGGGAAGUUUCUUAUUUAGCGUUCAUAUUGUUCGUUUAAACUUUUUAAAAUUUGAACACAUAAACAAAAAUGUGUGAAUCAUUAUUUCAAAAAAAAAAAAAUGUCUGAAUCUUGGCUGAAUGGUUUGCGGAGCCAUAUUGAUACAUACAAACUAGGUAUAUGCAUUUUUUGAUUAUGUCUGUUAAUUUUAAUUCUUUUAAAAUUAUUUAAUGUUAAAUUUAAAUUUAAAUUUAUUAACAAAUAUUUAAUAAUCAAUAUACUUAUAUAAAGGAGAAGCGAGGGGCGUGUAGGUGGGGCCUCUUACAUCGCUCCGUUCUAUUUUUCUAAUUUUUUAGAAUUUUUGGAUGAACAAUAUCAAAAAUUAGAACUACCUUUUUUAGUUUGGGAUAUAUUAGAAGCAAUAUUCAGAAUCUGAUUUUGUUUCAAAUUAUUUAUGGAAUACUACCUUUUUUAUUUUCAGAUAUAUUAGAAGCAAGUUUCAGAAUCUGAUUUUGUUUCAUAUUAUUUAUGGAAAUUAGUAGCUUUAAAGUUUUAAUUUGAUUUUGUUUCAGAUUAUUUAAUUAUGGGACAAUAUACUUAUAUAAAGGAGAAGCGAGGGGCGUGUAGGUGGCGCCUCUCACAUCGGUCCGUUCUAUUUUUCAAAUUUUCUGAUAUUUUUGGAUGAAAAAUAUCAAAAAUUAGAACUAUCUUUUUUAGUGGUUUCAGAUUAUUUAAUUAUGAGAAAGAGUAGCACACAAGUCUCUCUGCAUCUAUAAAUAGUCCUAUAAGUUGUAGGGUUUUAGAUCAUCUAAACACAACCUCUUCUCUCUCAAUACCACAACUUUACCUCUCUCUAGUGACAGUUCUCUUGCUCGAUUUCUAAUUCGGUGGUGCCGUUCUUAGUGAAGGCUGUUUAUACAGUAUUAAAAAAAAAUAAAGAUUGUUGCAAGCAAAGGUAGUUAUAGACCGCUAUGUGAGAGUCGACAAAUCCAAACACGGGAGAAGAAUAUAGUCUUAACAUGAUAUUGAUGGAUGAUAUCAAUAAUUAAUUAUUAGCGAUGUAUGUUUGUUGGUUAUUCUUUUAUAAUAUAUGUUUUGUUUAUUGGACAUGUUUGUUGUUGUUAAUUUUUAUAUGAUUUAAUUUGUAUACAAGAAAAUAUUAUUCAUGCAUUAUAGACCGCUAUACAAGGAAAAUCAAUAUCAAUAUACUUAUAUAAAGGAGAAGUGAGGGGCGUGGAGGUGGCGCCUCUCACAUCGCUCCGUUCUAUUUUUCUAAUUUUUCGGAAUUUUUGGAUGGAAAAUAUCAAAAUUGCUCCGUUAUAUAGUAUAAGUCGAUUUCUAACUCGGAGGUNNNNNNNNNNNNNNNNNNNNNNNNNNNNNNNNNNNNNNNNNNNNNNNNNNNNNNNNNNNNNNNNNNNNNNNNNNNNNNNNNNNNNNNNNNNNNNNNNNNNNNNNNNNNNNNNNNNNNNNNNNNNNNNNNNNNNNNNNNNNNNNNNNNNNNNNNNNNNNNNNNNNNNNNNNNNNNNNNNNNNNNNNNNNNNNNNNNNNNNNNNNNNNNNNNNNNNNNNNNNNNNNNNNNNNNNNNNNNNNNNNNNNNNNNNNNNNNNNNNNNNNNNNNNNNNNNNNNNNNNNNNNNNNNNNNNNNNNNNNNNNNNNNNNNNNNNNNNNNNNNNNNNNNNNNNNNNNNNNNNNNNNNNNNNNNNNNNNNNNNNNNNNNNNNNNNNNNNNNNNNNNNNNNNNNNNNNNNNNNNNNNNNNNNNNNNNNNNNNNNNNNNNNNNNNNNNNNNNNNNNNNNNNNNNNNNNNNNNNNNNNNNNNNNNNNNNNNNNNNNNNNNNNNNNNNNNNNNNNNNNNNNNNNNNNNNNNNNNNNNNNNNNNNNNNNNNNNNNNNNNNNNNNNNNNNNNNNNNNNNNNNNNNNNNNNNNNNNNNNNNNNNNNNNNNNNNNNNNNNNNNNNNNNNNNNNNNNNNNNNNNNNNNNNNNNNNNNNNNNNNNNNNNNNNNNNNNNNNNNNNNNNNNNNNNNNNNNNNNNNNNNNNNNNNNNNNNNNNNNNNNNNNNNNNNNNNNNNNNNNNNNNNNNNNNNNNNNNNNNAUGGAAUAUAAUAACUUGAAAGUUUUAAUCUGAUUUUGUUUCUGAUUAUUUAAUUAUGGGGAAGACAAAUUAUUUAUGGAUAUAAUAGCUUGAAAGUUAGACAAAUUAUUUAUGGAAUAUAAUAGCUUGAAAGUUUUAAUCUGAUUUUGUUUCAGAUUAUUUAAUUAUGGGAAAGAGUAGAACACAAGUCUCUCUGCACCUAUAAAUACCCCUAUAGAUGGUAGGGUUUUGGAUCAUCUAAACACAACCUCCUCUCUUUCAAUACCACAACCCUACCUCUCUCUGAUGAUAGUUCUCUUGCUCGAUUUCUAACUUGGCGGUGCCGUUCUUCUGCAACGAUACGUGAAGGCUGUUUAUACAGUAUUAAAAAAAUAAAGGUGGUUACAAGUAAAGGUAGUUAUAGACCGCUAUGUGGGAGUCGACAAAUCCAAACACGAGAAAAUAAUAUAGUCUUGACAUGAUAUUGAUGGAUGAUAUCAAUAAAUUAACUAUUGGUAUUGUAUGUUUGUUGGUUAUUCUUUUAUAAUAUUUGUUUUGUUCAUCGGACAUGUUUGUUGUUGUUAAUUUUUAUAUGAUUUACUUUGUAUACAUGAAAAAAUUACUCCUGCAUAAUCUGUUUGCUCCGUUCAAGCAACUUUUAAGUAACGCUGUUUAUACAGUAUUAAAAAAUAAAGGUUGUUACGCAAUUUUAUAUAUUAGUAUGGUAUUACAUCAAGAUUUUUAUAAUAUAAAAUUUAAUUUAUCUUACAAAUAUUAAUUUUGAAUCAUUAAUAUACUUUUUAUAGACAGCUAUAAAAUUAUUGCAUUUUACAAAUAUUAAUAUUGAAUCAUUAAUAUAACUUUUAUAAGCCGCCGCAACGCGCGAUUUCUCAACUAGUAUAUAUAUAAAGGAGAAGCGAGGGGCGUGUAGGUGGCGCCUCUCACAUCGCUCCGUUCUAUUUUUCUAAUUUUUUGGAAUUUUUAGAUGAAAAAUAUCAAAAAUUAUCACUACCUUUUUUAGUUUUGGGUAUAUUAGAAGCAAGUUUCAGAAUCUGAUUUUGUUUCAGAUUAUUUAUGGAAUACAGUAGUUUGAAAGUUUUAAUCUGAUUUUGUUUCAGAUUAUUUAAUUAUGGGAAAUAUAGUAGUUUGAAAGUUUUAAUCUGAUUUUGUUUCAGAUUAUUUAAUUAUGGGAAAGAGUAGCACACAAGUCUAAAUACAACCUCCUCUCUCCCAAUACCACAACACCAGAUAGUUCUUUUGCUCGAUUUCUAACUCUGUGGUGCCGUUCUUCUACAACGACAAGUGAAGGUUGUUUAUACAAUAUUAAAAAAAAAAACGGUUGUUGAAAGCAAAGGUAGUUAUAGACCAAUACGUUGGAGUCGACAAAUCCAAACAUUGCAAAAGAAUAUAAUCUUGACAUAAUAUUACUUUUAAGUGAAGCCUGUGUAUGUACUCUAUUAAAAAAUAGAGGUUGUUACAAGCAAGGAUAGUUAUAGACUGCUAUCUCACGGAUUUGAGUUAGAUAUUUUUGUGCACAAUCAAUCCAAAAAAAUCGGGGGAGGUGAAAAUAUAAGAACAUGAUUACUUUAAAAAAAACACAAAUAAAAUUAAGAUUCAUUGUGAUUUAAAUUAUUAAUUAUGUGAAUAAAUNNNNNNNNNNNNNNNNNNNNNNNNNNNNNNNNNNNNNNNNNNNNNNNNNNNNNNNNNNNNNNNNNNNNNNNNNNNNNNNNNNNNNNNNNNNNNNNNNNNNNNNNNNNNNNNNNNNNNNNNNNNNNNNGUAUAUAAAUUUAUUUUCAUUUUUCACCAUGAAUUAUAGUCCAAUUUUGCAAUUUUAUAUAUUAGUAUUGGUAUUACAUCAAGAUUUUUAUAAUAUAAAAUUUAUUUUAUCCUACAAAUAUUAAUUUUGAAACAUUAAUAAUAGACAGCCACAAAAUUAUUUUAUUUAUAAAUAUUAAUAUUGAAUCAUUAAUAUAAUUUUUAUAGGUCGCCGCAACGCGCGGCUUAUCAACUAGUAUAAUAUAAUAUAAUUUAUAUCAUUAAUCUUCUAUAGAUGUAUAAAAGUAUUUCAUAAUAUUAUUUUGUAUUAUAAAUUCUUGUUGAACAAUUAAAAUAUUCUAUUAUUAAAAAUUCAAUAAUUUUGAAUUAUAUUCUUACAAAAAUUUAGCAUAUAAUCGAUUUUAAAUUUAAAAAAUAAAUCACAAUUUAAUUAUUCAGAAUAUUAUUCAUCCGAGAUUCUAAUUGUUUAGAUAAUAUGAUUCAGGUUUAACAAAUGAGUCUUAUUGAAUAUAAAUAUGAUAUACAUUUUAAAAAUUUUUAAUGUACGUGUUAAUUAAAUUUAUAUUCAUAUAGUAUUCUAUGUGACAUCAGAUAUAUUUUAGUGUUAUAAUAAUCGAAUAUAAGUAUAAUUUAAAAUAUAUUCACCGUAAUGUUUGGUUAUUUUUUAAUUAAAAUUUUGGAUUUUUUUAAUCAAAAUUAUGAAAAUCGUUAACACAUUAUUAAAUUUCUUUAUUCUCCUUUUUAUUUUUCUUUUUGCUACCUUUUUGCUACCGAGUAAAAUUUAUUGGUUCCAGUUGAGUAAAAUUUCUUUAUUCUCCUUUUACUUAGUAAUAAAAUUUAAUAUUUUUUAUAUGAAUUAUUUUGUUAAAUUUAAAUGAAUGUCUGAAUUCUGAUAACGUAGAAGAUUGCAUGAAAAGAGGGUAAACUGCAUCGAAGGCAGAGUUGACUUAGCGCACAAAAGAUUAAGCAUACACACAUGACAAAGAUAAUAAACGAGGGACAGAACAGUAAUCUGUGAUUACUGCGCAAAGUAAAAAUUCACUGCAUUUAGCAAUCAUGAUAAUUAAUAUUUUGUGUUGGGGCCUUGGGGGCGGCCAUCUCAUAAAUUUUAACGUAACUGGAAGCACUGUUGGAAUGUUCUUGGUAAGCAGAUAACCGCCAGAUUAAAUCAAGCUGGUUUCUUGAAUUGCAACACGUAUUUAGAGUUUAAAAAAUCUUUUAAAGAUUAUAUUAUUUUUGUCAAAAGAAAUAGUGCACUUAAUAUAUUAUAAUGAAAAUUAGUUAUAAUAUUAAUUUAAUUUUUUAUUUUUAUUAUAAAUGAGGAUGCACAAAAUAUUAUAUAAAAAGUCUCUAGAUAACAAAUUAAGCAAAUAUGACCGAAUUGACUGAAUUUAUAGACAACAGAUUUCUCAUUUCAAGUGGUAAAUUUUUCAUGUAUUCCUUAUAAUUUUUAUUUGUAUUAUACCAUUAUCUACUNUCUUUAUUCUCCUUUUUAUUUUUCUUUUUGCUACCUUUUUGCUACCGAGUAAAAUUUAUUGGUUCCAGUUGAGUAAAAUUUCUUUAUUCUCCUUUUACUUAGUAAUAAAAUUUAAUAUUUUUUAUAUGAAUUAUUUUGUUAAAUUUAAAUGAAUGUCUGAAUUCUGAUAACGUAGAAGAUUGCAUGAAAAGAGGGUAAACUGCAUCGAAGGCAGAGUUGACUUAGCGCACAAAAGAUUAAGCAUACACACAUGACAAAGAUAAUAAACGAGGGACAGAACAGUAAUCUGUGAUUACUGCGCAAAGUAAAAAUUCACUGCAUUUAGCAAUCAUGAUAAUUAAUAUUUUGUGUUGGGGCCUUGGGGGCGGCCAUCUCAUAAAUUUUAACGUAACUGGAAGCACUGUUGGAAUGUUCUUGGUAAGCAGAUAACCGCCAGAUUAAAUCAAGCUGGUUUCUUGAAUUGCAACACGUAUUUAGAGUUUAAAAAAUCUUUUAAAGAUUAUAUUAUUUUUGUCAAAAGAAAUAGUGCACUUAAUAUAUUAUAAUGAAAAUUAGUUAUAAUAUUAAUUUAAUUUUUUAUUUUUAUUAUAAAUGAGGAUGCACAAAAUAUUAUAUAAAAAGUCUCUAGAUAACAAAUUAAGCAAAUAUGACCGAAUUGACUGAAUUUAUAGACAACAGAUUUCUCAUUUCAAGUGGUAAAUUUUUCAUGUAUUCCUUAUAAUUUUUAUUUGUAUUAUACCAUUAUCUACUCCCUCCAUUUUGAAAUAUAGGUCGCUUAGACUUUUUUGCACGUAUUUUUAAAUCUUUUGACCGCAUGCUUAAAAUCAUGAUUUUUGAAAUUUUCUUUUUUUGAAUAAUAAUAUCAAUCAUAUAUUUUUAUUAAAAAAAAAUUCAAAAAUAAAGAUAUUUAGCAUGCGGUCAGAAGACUUAGAAACGCAUGCAAAAAAGUCAAACGACUUAUAUUUCAAAACAGAGGGAGUAUAAAUUAUACCCGAUCAAACCUUAAGCUUUUAUGUAUGGUGGAUUGAGGCCGGAUCAGUACUCUAGUAUAUAUUGUUGUUGAUAUUCAAGCUGUGGGCUAGUAGCAAUGGCUUGAUGGCUAAUGCAAUUCAUUCAAAAAUGAGGGAUUUAAAGGUCUUGGCCUUACUAGAGGUGUAACAUUGAACACGGAAUGCAUGAUAAAUAGGUGCACCAGAUGUUUUUGCUUGGAUCACACCUGUUCUUCAUAACGAAAACAAUAAUGUGAAAUAACAUUCAAUUAAGUACUAAUCGACAUGGCUCAUUAAUUUUAUUGAUCUUACAGGCUACAGCCAGCAAGAAGCUUUCAAAUCUCUCUACCUGAGGUCUGGGUGUGGAAGCCGACUGUUGAAAUAUUCGAGCUAUAUAUUCCUCUAACACCUUAAGUUUUUAGAUGGACUAGUUCUCAAUAUGGUAUCAAAGGCAUAUUUGGCGGAGGUUUAAAGUUCAAGUGAUGGUAGUGAUGAAAUUUAGCAAAAGAUCCAUUUGGCCUUCUUCUAACAGCUUCAGGUUGGUUCUCAACACCCCGACAGAUUUAAACAUGCAUGCAUUGAACAAAAGAUGAUUUCAUUAUCUAAGCUUAAUAUACUUCAAUCUCGUAGUUUUAAUCAACUGGUUUUGAUAUAGCAAAAACUAACUCGAAUAUAUGUAUUUGUAUAAACAUCUGCGGUGCAAGGGAUGUACAAGAAUAUAUAUAGCUUGCUGAGACAAAUCACACUACUUGUCAUUUGUCAGAUAUAUAGAACAAAAUUGUUAAUUAUUGUUUGUUUCCAGCAGAAACUACUCCUUCAUUGCCAGCCAAGAUCAUGUACUUGUCCUUCCUUGUUAGCAUUGUGCAUUCAAAUCCCAAGGCCUUGCCAAGCUCACUCUGCACCUUAUUUGCCACAUCAAACCUUGAGCUUUUGUCGUUGUUGCUUGAAACACCACAAAUUUUAUCAAGUACUUGCAGAGUGUAGCUGGGAGUAGGGUUCAUGAGAAAGAAAAUCGGAUCCAAGAACUUUAAUCCACUAGCAGUUGUGCCAUGAAACAUGCUCACUUUUGUGUCUACGCCAACAGGGACGAUAUCAUCAGUCAGUUCUGUGAAAAGAGGACUUAGCCUUAGCAAGUAAGGUUCUCUACAAGUAGUUCCUUCAGGGCAAACAACCAAAUCCCCUUGAUUCAAUAACUUAUCCAUCAUUGCUCUGUCUUUGUCUCUGUUUCUCGUUAACCGGACUGUUCUAAUUGGUGAUAAAAACUCUGACAUUCGGCUUAGGCUGUAUGUUACUGCAGCCAAAGGUUUCAUGAGUCCGAAUGAGAGAAUUAGGGGGUCCAGUAAUGUUCUGUGGUUGCAUACAUAUAGUGAACCUUUUGUUUUUGACUGUGUUUUUGGCCUUUGGACAGGUUCGAAAACCUUGAGUUUAAUUCCUGAGAAAGUUAACAGAGGAGUGGAGAUAGAGUAUGGUAAAGAAAUGGCAAUAAUGAUUCGGAUGAUGGCAAUUAUUGUUCCAAGAGGGAGCCAAACAAACAUGACAAGCAUGGCAAGUGGAGUUGGCCUGAAAGCUAAUCGACCAUCGUGGAAAAUAAGAGGUUUCGGAUAUUGCUCCUUGCUAAGUGAAUUCCAUUUUAGCUUCUCUGCUUCAUUUACCAUGAAAACCUCCUUGCAAUGAGAGAAACAAGUAUGAGCAAAGGAUGUGUUGAGGCUAUCGAGGCCGAUUACAUUUUCAGAUGCAUUCUCAUCUUCGAAUAGACCAUCCAAAAUGCUGUGACUCCCAUCUUCCAUUAGGCCAACGUAAUAUCCACAAACAACUUUUAACUCCCUUCCGUUGACAGAAUUGAUCUCCAAGUAAUCACUUAAGAAGCUCUCAACCAUGACUUGAGGCAAAUUAGUGACUGCAACUUUCCUUUUGGCUUUUUGCAACACCGCAAACACUUCAGCACCAACAUCCUCUAGAAAAUACUUAGGCAGAACAGAACUUCCUACUCGGAAACUCUUUUUCUUGAUUCCGAAAAAUGAAAUCAUGACCAUUAUGUUUAUGGAAUGUUCAUAACUAAGUAGGCUAAUGAUAGGGUAUAAAAUUAAUAGAAUGAGGGCCCUUAUGAGGCUACCGGCUUCAAAUGCAACUAACAUGAAGUAUGGAAAAAGAGAUGAAGAUUUCAGCAAAGAGCCCUCUACAUUAAACACUACAGUUGUGCUUUCAGAAGGCUCAACUCUUUCUGAAAGAGAUAAUUGGCUCUUUACUUUAUGUUGGGAAUUGAAUGAAUUUGCAUUACUUAGGCUUCUCUGCAGACCCUUUUGGUUUCUGUAGUAUUUUCUAAGGAGACGAGAGAUAAGGAGGACGAAUCCUGAAAAUGAAGGGGAUUUCGAGAAUACCAUGUUUGGUUUAAAGAUUUAUAAAAAUUGUGUUUGAUAUCUGAUGCUAAGAAGUGAUGCUAUGAGGUGUGUUUAUAUAGUGCUAGUAUACAGAAGAGUCCUCACUGUCACUUAGAAUGACAACUUCAAAAGUGUGGAUUGACUUGGCUACUCAAAAGCGAUUGUUCAAAGAAAAGCGUAGUGAGAACAAGGUGGCUCGAAACUGCAAGGAUCGUGCUGGAACGGGUCAAGCCAUAAAAUGCAGGUAUAAGAUGGGACUUAUCUUCUAUCAUCCUUAAAUGCAAAAUAACAACUUGCAUGCAGUGUGUUUUCUUUCCUAAUGGUACUUGCAUGCAGUGUUUAUAUGUUUACAGAAUUGGCAAUUUUCAUACAGCUGCCUAAGAGCUUCUACCUCAAGGUGGUGGGGCAAAACUUUGCAUUCAGGUUGCAGGGAAUCGAAUCCGAGUCUCUUAUGAGUCUGAGAUGUGGUAUCAUAUUAAGUGAAUAGUUGUCCCAAAACCUCAAUUGUUAAGGAGAACUUACCAGAAUCUUAUUAACCGACAGUUUCAAUUUUUAUCGAAUGUAGCUUCGGUUUUGCAUCAGCUGGAAUCAGCUAUGAUCAACUAACGUGAUUCAGUUUUAUCCAACACGGUUUUGGUUUUGUCUUUGUCAAGUGAAUCUGAGUUUAGAAAGAAGGUGAAGAACAAUACAGUUGGCUCAAUUCUUGUCCAAUUGACUGUUAUAAAUUAGAUCGCCAGGAGUCAACGAGUCAUCGUAAGUUGCUAACCUUAAUACUCAGCAGAAAGCAUAAUUUUCUUAAGACUAGCACAUGAUCUGUACUAAUCAGUUUUAAUGUAUGUGGGCUUGUAUGAAUGAAUUUAGGUAUAAACAUCUGGAUUAGGUUCCCAUGGCUUUCCUUGUGCAAGGACAUUUCAUAAUUAAAAACACGCUAAAUACAAGUGAGAAUUGAAAAGGCGCGUAAUAAUGGCCAUCUCAUAAAUUUUAACGUAACUAGAAGAAGUGCUGUUGGCAUGUUCUUGGUGAGCAGAUAACCACCAAAUUAAAUCAAGCUGGUUUUUUGAAUUGCAACACUAUUUAGAGUUUAUUUAUUUGAGUUGAUGCACAAAACAUUAUAUAAAAAUUCUCUAGAGAACAAAUUAAGCAAAUAUGGCUGAGUUGGCUUAAAUUCAUAGAGAGCAGAUUUCUUGUUUCGAGUGGUAAAUUUUUCACGUAUUUUCUAUAAAUUUUAUUUAUAUUAUACCAUUAUCUAUAAAUUAUACCCCAUCGAAACUAAAGCUUUUAUUAUGACAAAUAAAAAAAAAAACUUAAGCUUUUAUGGUGGUUUGACGCCCGGUCAGUGCUCUAGUAUUGUUGCUGAUAUUCAAGCUGUGGGCUAGUAGCAAUGGCUUGAUGGCUCUUGCAAAUCAUUCAAAAAUGAGGGAUUUAAAGGUCUUGGCCUUACUAGAGGUGUAAAAGAAUUGAACACAGAAUGCAUGAGUAAUAUUUCAGGUGCAGCAGAUGACAUUCAAUUAACUACUGAUUGACAUGGUUCAUUAAUGUUAUUGAUCUUACAGGCUACAGCCAGCAAGAAGCUUUCAAAUCUCUCGGCUGACGUCUGGGUGGAAGCCGACUGUUGAAAUAUAGCAUGAGAUCUAUUGGGGCUCUUCCUCUAUCACCUUAAGGUUUUAGAUGGAAUAGUUCUCGACAUGAUAUCCGAGGCAUUUUGGCCGAGGUUUAAAUUCAAGUGAGGGGAGUGUUGGAAUUUAUCAUAAGAUUCAUUUGGCCUUCUUCUAACAGCUUAAGGUCGGCUCUCAACACCCCGACAGAUUUCAACAUGCAUGCAUUGAACAAAAGAUUAUUUCAAUAUCUAAGCUUAAUGUACUUCAAUCUAUUAUCUUAAUCAACUGGUUUUGAUAUAGCAAAAAUUAACUCGAAUAUAUGUAUUUGUAUAAACAUCUGCGGUGCAAGGAAUGUACAAGAAUAUAUAUAGCUUGCUAAGAUAUAGAACAAAAAAUGUUAAUUAUUGUUUGUUUCCGGCAGAAACUACUCCUUCAUUGCCAGCCAAGAUCAUGUACUUGUCCUUCCUUGUUAGCAUCGUGCAUUCGAAUCCUAAGGCCUUGCCAAGCUCACUUUGCACCUGAUUCGCCACAUCAAACCUUGAGCUUUUAUCAUCAUUGCUUGAAACACCGCAGAUUUUAUCAAGUACUUGCAGUGUGUAGCUUGGAGUUGGAUUCAUGAGGAAGAAAAUUGGAUCCAAGAACUUCAAUCCACUAGCUGUUGUACCAUGAAACAUACUAACACUUGUAUCUACGCCAACAGGGACGAUAUCAUCAGUCAAUUCUGUGAACAAAGGACUCAGCCUUAGCAAGUAAGGUUCUCUACAAGUAGUUCCCUCAGGGCAAACAACCAAAUCCCCUUGAUUCAAUAACUUAUCCAUCAUUUCCCUGUCCUUGUCUCUGUUUCUCGUUAAUCGCACAGUUCUGAUUGGUGAUAAA
rnacentral:lncRNA from 1 species